CUGCCACCACUCUUAAAAGGGAACUAUCACAAAAAUGUAAAUGUAUUAUAUGUUUCAUUAUACUGAAAUAAGAAACCUUCUAAAUACAAUCAAUUAAAUAUUCUGCAUAGUUUCUGAAAUAAUAUGAAUCUUAUAUUAAAUUUUCAUUUGCCAAUAGUUUCCCUUUAAAUCCCCCCCCCCCUAGGAGAGCCAGCCGUACAGUUUGGGAACAAUUGGUUUAAGGUUUUGGGUGGCAACAUAUACAGGGUUCUAUUAUCUGAAAAGCUUGGGACCUGUGGUUUUGCAGAUAAGGUAUGGUGAUCCAAGUAACAGAAAGACCUACUACUAAAAAAAAAUUGAAAUUAAAACAAAAGGAUUUUUUUUGCCAUCAAUAUGGGUGUAUGUUUCUUAGUUACAAUCAAGUUCAUGUUACUGUUUUAUUUUUUUUCAGAGAAAAAGGCAAUCAUACAAAAUAUAUUUUUUUGCAUACAAUGGGUACAAUGAGAGAUGGGCUUGCCGUAUUUUUGAGUUUUAUGGAGAAUGGGUUUGCAGAUAAUGAUCCCUUUUCAUGAAAGGGUAAUUUAUUUCAUACAUUUUUUUGGGGGGAUUAAUGUGCUUUCUGCAGUUUGGAAUGUAAAGGGCACCUGUUGGGUAAAAAUAGUACAGUAGUUUUUUAAAAAAAAUAAAUGCCCCCUGCCAGCGCUAGGCUAUCCGCACCGGGAGGGAGCACCCUGCUCAGGCAGCCAUGUCCGGACACUCGCAUGCGCAUAACGAAAAGCUGCCAUCAAUUGCUCAUUAUGCACGUGAUGUCGCAUGCGCAUUAUGUGCAUGCAAGUGGCACAACAUGGCUGCUCGCACUGUGUGCUCCUUCUCGGUGUGGGCAGCCUAGUGCUGGUCAGUGAUUCCUUAAUCAAAUGUCAGACUACAUUUCUCUUCUUAUUGUUAUAAUUAAAAUGUUUAUUGUAACAAAACAUUGAUUUUAUUUUGUUUUACAAACACAAAAUAAAAUUACUAUAAUUGUCUAUUCCUUUGGGGAGUCUGAAAACACAAAGCUUUAUUUAUUAAAUUAUACAGUGUAGAAAAUGAUUCCUGUGUGUGAAGUCCCUGCAUCUAUUCUCAGCAGACUUUUUUUCUCUAAAUGUUAUAUUCACUCCUGACUUGAACUCUUCCAAGCUUAAAAUAGCCAGAAGGCAUUUCCAUGGAAACCUCGGAAAGGAACAAAUAGGUCAGUAGAAAGGAUCACUUGAUAUUACAUGAUUUCCACUAACAUUCAAGAAAAAAAGAAAUAAAAAUGCUUGACUAGUAAAAUAUAAAUCAAACAUUUACAUCAGUAAAGUAUUUGAAUAUUUUAACGGUACUGAUUAAUCCACAUUGUUGUACCUUUUCUUACUAGUGCGUAUGCAAGGCCUCUUUUGUUGUAUUUCCCACUGGUGUAUGUUGCUAGUGAAUUCAUCCUGGAACAAUAACUCUGCAUAUGAACAGUGCAUAAAUUAAGGUCUGCUUAGCACUUUACAGAUCAAUAACAGUGCCUCACUGUGGGGGUUGGGGUGUAACGUAAAAGAGUGCUGCAGUGGAAGAGAAAACAGAAAAAGAUAGGCUGAGACAAAAAUAUAAAUCGAUCACUUAAAAAGAAUCAACUAACAGAAAGAGAGAGGGAGUAAAAUCACAGUUGCAGGACAAGCAAAAUUAUAUGGAGGUUCUAAUGUAACGUGGAGCGCCAUGCCUUGAGGUUUCAAAAAACCAUUCAACAAACAAAAGGCUAAUAGAAUUCAGGGUUUUUUGACUGCUACAGCCAUUGGGUGCAAAACAAAGGCAGAGAAAGACUCCCACCUUGAUGGAUUUGUGCCCAUUCCUUCUGCACUUUCUGACAAUGAAACAGAAAACAUGAUCCAGGCAGUGGUGGAUAAUGCUUGCUGACAGAUGUCCCUGGACCGAGAGACCACUGCUCUUAAACAGCUGCAGGGUCACGUGUGGAGGUCAACCUAUAUUACUGGACAGCUUAAGGGCGAGUAAGUAUGAUAUAUGUGGUUUAAUGCUUCUGUGCAAAUCUUAUUCCAAAUGCAUUCACUUUUUAAGGGCAGUAUUCAAGGGGAAUGGUUGUAAACUAUAGAUAAAGAUCUAAGCUAUAAAAGUUGUCUGCCAAACUGUCCUUCACUAUAGUGUAGAAUUGUAUUGCAUGUGUUGGUCUACAAUGGGCAGAUUUUCAGACACAUCUUUGGACAUAAAACAUAAACAUAAAACCAUUCUGUCACCAAGAUUCACUUGUUUCUCUGCAAAAAAUAGUAUAUUUGCUUAAUUUAAAAGGGAUACCCAAGUAUACAAUUUUCUUUUCUUUGGGUCAUUAAAGAAAAUGUACUUUCAAGCCACUUUCCAGUAUAUAUUAAAUAAAAAAGUAAAGUAAAAUGAUUUUAAAAUUAUUUGUAAAUGAUUCACAUUGUUCAAUCCUUGGUGUUUCUAGAAUUCAAGAGGUCACCACUAAAAUAAAGCUCAUGUUUUUAAAGUG